CGGGGCGGGGGUGUGGUGUAGGGGGAUGAUUCUUUCAAACUCAAGCGACAAAUGGGCUGCAAUUAGAGACAAAUGUAGUGUUGAGAGGAGGCAUGUAAAUAUGCCUUAGGGAAGCUGGAAGUCGGACAUGCCAGUGAUGUACUGUCGUAAUCCUGGAAGCAAGAUUAUACUAAAGGAAUCAAAUUUAAGUCACAGUUUGCUUGACAGACGAAAAACACCAAAUGAAAUGUGACGUACUUCGACACGAGUUUCGCUUCUGGUGGUAAAUCCUUUCAACUGCUUAUAUGAGAAGCUUAUAUGCUGCUUCUAAAAGAAAGAAACAUUCACAGAACAAGGCUGCAAUCACCAUGCUGUGUAUGGAAUGUGCUGGCAAGAGCUGGAGUAGCUCAAGGGAAUAACUGGUCCUCUCAUUUCAUAAUAAAUGCUGGCAGCCCACAGAUUAACUGUGGAACAGUCCAACUUCACUUGUAGAGGCCAUGCUCCAGUUUUGAAUGACAGGAGACAUUGGAGAACAGAUCUUACUGUCAGCAAAUCGUUGCAGUGGUCAGCCUGAGCUCCUAGUGUGAAAAUGUGUCCCAAAAUUCCAGUGUAAGAUGUGAUUGUCAGGAAAUCCAUACUCUUUAAAAACCUAACAACAGAAGUGAAAUACACUAAACAGAAGCAGAAAUUAGGUAUUCCUAAUGAGUGCCUAGUUUUAUCCCUAAUACACACAAUUUGCAUAUAUUACAGAGAUGGGCAAUGCUUUGAGAACUGCUUGUUGUGAAGUUUUAGGGGGUGCACUUCCUUGCUUGACUUUUCAACAGCUUCCAACCAUUUUGUCAUGUCACAUAACACUGUGAAAAUUUUCUUUGGCAGCAAUGCAAGUUACAAAGCUCAAUGUCUACACAGUUGCUUUGUGGUGACAGAUCUUUUUACCACAGCUCAGCACGUCCUCACAUGUGCUGAUGCAGUUGUUUGUGUAACUGCUGCAAAGUAGGUCAGUGGGGGAAAAGAAAAAAAGCUGCAGAUUUGAAGGUGCUUUUCAAAAGGAUCAUUUCACAUAUCCCAGUUCCUUUGCAGUUUCGCAAUCAAAUUGAGCCAGUUUGUGUGAUGCUCUGAAAGGUUACUCCCAAAUUCCACCGUGUGCCAUCCUCCUGUUUCCACCCUUUUCUUUGUGUGGGUGCAAGCCCUGGAACACAGUUCUUCUGUAAAAGUCAGUUAUCAGUGGUGACAGAUCUCUGAUCCAAUUCAUCUGCAGCAGAAUGAUCUCCAGGACUGAUGUAGGAACAGCAGCAGGAAGAAAGGGCAACAACCCUCCAGCCUCAGACUGUGUUCCAUCUGCUUGAAAAACUGGAGUUAUACAAACAAACGAAGGAGCACAAGUGAAGAUACACUUCAGAGGGUGAAGGGAAGAGGAAUGAGUGGAUGAGUGGUACAAGUAGCAUUAAUGCAACAAAGAAGUAACAACACAAAACUUCAGCCUUAAUGUGUU
rnacentral:lncRNA from 1 species